rnacentral:rRNA from 1 species
AACGAACGCUGGCGGCAGGCUUAACACAUGCAAGUCGAACGGGUACCUUCGGGUGCUAGUGGCAGACGGGUGAGUAACACGUGGGAACGUACCUUUUGGUUCGGAAUAAUACAGGGAAACUUGUACUAAUACCGGAUACGCCCCUCGGGGGAAAGAUUUAUCGCCGAAAGAUCGGCCCGCGUCUGAUUAGCUAGUUGGUG